AGUGAACGCUGGCGGUAGGCCUAACACAUGCAAGUCGAACGGCAGCACAGUAAGAGCUUGCUCUUACGGGUGGCGAGUGGCGGACGGGUGAGGAAUACAUCGGAAUCUACUUUUUCGUGGGGGAUAACGUAGGGAAACUUACGCUAAUACCGCAUACGACCUACGGGUGAAAGCAGGGGAUCUUCGGACCUUGCGCGAUUGAAUGAGCCGAUGUCGGAUUAGCUAGUUGGCGGGGUAAAGGCCCACCUAGGCGACGAUCCGUAGCUGGUCUGAGAGGAUGAUCAGCCACACUGGAGCGGGAACACGGUCCAGACUCCUGCGGGAGGCAGCAGUGGGGAAUAUUGGACAAUGGGCGCAAGCCUGGUCCAGCCAUACCGCGUGGGUGAAGAAGGCCUUCGGGUUGUAAAGCCCUUUUGUUGGGAAAGAAAAGCAGCAGGUUAAUACCCCGCGGUUCUGACGGUACCCAAAGAAUAAGCACCGGCUAACUUCGUG
rnacentral:rRNA from 1 species